UUGGGAGCCAUCAUCUAACACAAGCAGAUUAGGAGUGAUACAAAUCGCAUCGUCAACGAGGAAAGCUCUGUACUUGGGCACUUGUUCUGGAUGGAAUUUGGGGGCUGUUUGACCUUGGAGGAGUGGAUACUAUGUUUGGUGAAAUGGCGCUACACCAGACGUAAAGCCAUAGGAGAAACCAUUUUCUUCUUCAAUUCUAUGAAGUUAACCAAGACCUGGGGCUCACAGUCCCGAAUUUGGAAGUAAAAAAAUAAGAAGUCUCAAAAGGGCAAAAGCUGAACAAACUCCCAGGAUGGGAAACUCACCAGAGAGGUGAACUCUCUGCUUCACAGCUCAAAACUGAACGUCCAAAGCUGGCCAAGGUCUCUGCAUGCCUAUGACUGUGCACCGACCUGAGUCUCUGCACGGGAGAAAGAGUUUUCUGCUAACCUCUUCAAGCCAAGGCUACAUACUGCACACCUCUCUUAGAGACUGACCAUGACAAGUUGAUUGGACACUCCGAGAAGUCACAGGAUGGGCAGGUUGACUCUUCCCUAGAGUUUACCAAGUCCAUCUGACCACUGAACCUUUUCUCAGGUAACAUUCAAGACUUCUUAUGGAACUUAGUUUGAGGCAGAAAAUGCAUUUAUUCUAAGCUAGGUGUGGUGACUUACAUCGGUAAUCCCCGAUACUUGAAAGCUGAGGCACGAGGAGAACUGUGAGUUUCAAUCUGGCUGAGGCUACACAGCGCGUUCCAGAGGACCUGGACCACAGAAGGAGAGCCUAUCACCAGGGGAGGGCGAAGAAAAUAAUUCUGUAUCAUAUACACUUACUAAUGACAACUGCAGUAUCUUAAGUCAUUAACAUAUUCUUCAAGAUUUAUUUUUAUUUACACAUACAAGUGUUUUGUCUCCAUGUAUGUCUGUGCAACAUGUGCAUGUAGUACCUGCAGAGGCCAGAAGAGGGCAUCAGAACUCCUGGAACUUGAGUUACAGACGGUUGCAACCAACCAUGUGGAUGCUGGGAACCAAACCUGGGUCAGAGCAACCAGUGUGCUGAACUGCUGAGCCCUCUCUCCAGGCCCUGGGUUGUGCUUUUAAAUGUAUAAAAUAGGUUGUGAGAUACAUUCUCUAUAAUGUAUUCUUGGGUCACUCAGGCUUGAAAUCAUUCGUAAUACAUGCUAAUAAUCUCAUAUCCGUAUGUCAACAUUCUUACAGGUGUUAUUAUUAUCAACUUAUGACCUAUUUUCAAACUUCUCAGCAUCAUCAUUGUCAACCUUUAUGACACUGUUAAGUGGAAUUUUCACAAACACCCAUAAAUAGAUUUUCUGUUUAGACCAUUAAAAGGUUUCAGAUUGCA